rnacentral:rRNA from 1 species
AUUGAACGCUGGCGGCAUGCUUUACACAUGUAAGUCGAACGGUAACAGGUUAAGCUGACGAGUGGCGAACGGGUGAGUAAUGCAUCGGAACGUGCCCGGUCGUGGGGGAUAACGCAGCGAAAGCUGCGCUAAUACCGCAUACGAUCUGAGGAUGAAAGCGGGGGACCGUAAGGCCUCGCGCGAUCGGAGCGGCCGAUGUCAGAUUAGGUAGUUGGUGGGGUAAAGGCCUACCAAGCCGACGAUCUGUAGCUGGUCUGAGAGGACGACCAGCCACACUGGGACUGAGACACGGCCCAGACUCCUACGGGAGGCAGCAGUGGGGAAUUUUGGACAAUGGGCGCAAGCCUGAUCCAGCAAUGCCGCGUGCAGGAAGAAGGCCUUCGGGUUGUAAACUGCUUUUGUACGGAGCGAAAAGGCUCUCUCUAAUACAGGGGGCUCAUGACGGUACCGUAAGAAUAAGCACCGGCUAACUACGUGCCAGCCGCCGCGGUAA